rnacentral:rRNA from 1 species
GGGACACGUGAAACCCUGUGGGAAGCAGGAGGGACCACCCUCCAAGGCUAAAUACUACCUAGUGACCGAUAGCGUAUAGUACCGUGAGGGAAAGGUGAAAAGAACCCCGGGAGGGGAGUGAAAUAGAACCUGAAACCCUGCACUUACAAGCUGUGGAAGCACAUUUCUUGUGUGACCGCGUACUUUUUGUAGAACGGGCCAACGAGUUACGUUAAGUAGCAAGGUUAAGCACUUAAGGUGCGGAGCCGUAGCGAAAGCGAGUUUUAACUGAGCGUUCAGUUACUUGACGUAGACCCGAAACCGGGCGACCUACCCAUGAGCAGGAUGAAGCGAAAGUAAAAUUUCGUGGAGGUCCGAACCCACGAGCGUUGAAAAGCUCGGGGAUGACUUGUGGGUAGCGGUGAAAUUCCAAUCGAGCCCGGAGAUAGCUGGUUCUCCCCGAAAUAGCUUUAGGGCUAGCCUCAAGGUGAGAGAUACGGAGGUAGAGCACUGAAUGUCCUAGGGGGUAUUGCACCUACCGAAGACUAUCAAACUCCGAAUGCCGUCAUCUUAUACUUGGGAGUCAGACUGUGGGUGAUAAGAUUCAUAGUCGAAAGGGCAACAGCCCAGAUCGUCAGCUAAGGUCCCUAAAUGUAAGUUAAGUGGUAAAGGAUGUGGGAUUGCACAGACAACCAGGAUGUUGGCUUAG